GGAACUCACUCUAAAAAUAUUUGCAAAAUUUACUCUAACUAACUACAAAAUGAUUCAAUCUCUUCUUUUUAUUCCUUCACGUAACUAACUUGGUAGAAUUGUUAUCCCAUGUGACGCCUUUCAUUCUAUUAUGUAGUCUUUCAUCCAAUUGAGUUCUUUGCGAUGCCUUCUAUUGGGCUCCAUUCUUGAUUGCUCAAUUGCUGGUUCAGUUAUUGCAGCAUCCCUCUCAGCUAAUGGGCCUUGCUCACUUGGAUUUGAGACAUUCUCAACUCUGUCAAUUAUCCCCUCGUCCACUGACCUUGUCCUUAAGGUCAGUGUCAGAAAACAACUUUUGAAGCUCUUCCAUGUCCAUCCAAAUGAUCUCCUCACGUGGAACUCCUUUCCAUUUUACCAGAACUUGUGUGCAAGGUCCUGAUGAAGAGGAGAUGCAACACUUUCCCAGAAUUGCUAGUGACUUUGAUUGAAGUGAAGAGGGAAGAUCAGCGAACGAAACAGACACCGAAGGUGGAUUUUCCCUGUACAGCUUCAAGACAGACACAUGAAAACACCAGGUGCAAGGCGCACGAUGGUAGUAAUUCCAGCUGGGUCUAACGUUCACUGGUUGGGAGCCCGGCAAAAGAUGAAUAUAGUGGUUAAUCUCUCUGACCGGCGACAAGGAAGUUGGUUCCUCAAACACAGCCUCAUGGUGCUGCAGAAUAUGCUGCAAUUCAGUAGGCGCGGCGGCUAUCCCCUUUUCCUCCUCUUCUUUGAUCACCUUUGAGGUGAUAUAAUGUAGUCACCACUUCCGACAAGACCAUUUUUUGUGGCAUCUUGUUGCUAAUAGCCUCAAAAUGCAACAAAUGCUCCCCCUGCAAUUUCACUGAAAUUCUAUUCACCACAAACUCCAUAGUAAGUAGCCCAUAAUGCGUAGUCACGUAUCCCAAGCACAUCAACUACUGGACUCCCAAUACAAUAUCAGCACCCUGCAACUCUAGCACGAAAGUGCUGACUGAAAACUGGUAUCACUGCAUCAUCAGUGGAAUGUCCUCACAGUAUGCCUUGCACCCAAUGACGUCACCAUUCCCCCACCAAAACUUGUAAGGGAGUGGUUUUUUGUAUAAAAAAUCCCAGCUUCUCGGCUAUGCUGGCUUUCACGAAAUUGUGGGAGCUUCCCCCAUCAAUGAGAAUCAUAACUGGUUUCCUAUGAUAGGUUCCUUUCAACCGAAAGGUUGUGGGUUGGUAUUGCUCCACCAUCGCGUUGAAAUUAAUCUCAGGUUGAAUUGGAGUAAUAAUAAUCGGGCUAUCAGAGUCAGGGGUAGCGACAAUCUCCGGUUCUGGUUCCCGCAGUAUUUCCAACAUUUCUUCCUCCCCAAUGAACAAAUAGCAUGAAGUCUUGCAUCUAUACCCCGAUGCCCAUUUCUCUUCACAGAUUCCGUUUGUGAUUUGGUUUUGAAGCUGUAGAUUUAUGUUCAUGCAAUUUAGCCAAGGAAACGGCUGUCACGUAGGAGGUAGGCUUGGCUAAUAAAAGCUCACAUUUGAGAUAUUUUUGUAGACCCACUAUGAACAGAGAAAUCAAUCACUCUUCACUUAAUCCAGUGACUUGAGUUGAAAAGUCUUCAAAAUGACUUUGAUAUUUUGCCACUGUACUAGUUUGCUUCAACUCCUUAAAAGCUACCUCAGGAUCGUAAAAUUGGUUCUGCUUGAACCGAGUUACGAGGGCUUUCAGGAAUGACUCCCAAGUAUGAUUGAUUUUAUUAUUGAUCACCUAACAGUACCAUGAAUAAGCCAAGCCAAUGAGGUGAAAAGAGAGCAUAUGUACCCGCAUUUCAAUCGGCAUCGUGUAUCAUUCAAAGUAUUCCUUCGCCUUGAACACCCAUUCCUCCACACGCUCUCCGUCAAACAAGGGUAAUUCAACCUUCAAAGCUUUGAUGUGAGUAUGAAGGUCUUGAUCCCCAUUGAGGUCGAGAUCCAAGGGGUAGAUUCUGCUUCCAAGUCAAGAUCCGCUUUCUUCAUUUUCAGAGCUUCCUUCAACAGUCUUUGGAUCUUACGUAAGGAAUUCUCAACCCCAUCCAUACGUGAAUUCGUCCUACUAAGUUGGCUUGUGACUUCAACAUGUUUCUGCUGUAAUGCCGCAAUCUCAGCUUGACGAUUGAGCUCAUUGGAUAUGGCCACCCCUCUUAACGAAAGCACCAAAUGUUGGAGUCAAAAAAUUAUGACUGUACUGAUAUAUUGAAUUGAAAUAGAAGAAGAGAGAUUUUAGAAAUUACAAUCAACAAUGCAGGAAUGAAAAAUGACAUUCCUAUUCGAGUAAGAACUCGGUCCGAAGAUACUUUGCAAAAUUCAUUCUAACUAACUACAAAAUUAUUCAAUCCCUUCUUUUUAUUUCUUCACGUAACUAACUUGGUAGAAUUGAUAUCCUCUAUGAUGUCUUUCAUCCUACUAUGUAGUUCUUCAUCUAAUUGGGUUGUUUGCGAUUCUUUCUAUUAGGCUCAAUUUCUGAUUGCUCAAUUGCUUAUUGCAGCAUCUCUUUUCGCUAAUGGGUCUUAUUUAUUUGAAUUAAGAUAUCUUCAAUACUAUCAGUCUACCUUUAUAAUCUCAUCAUAAAUCACAUUAUACUCUUUAACCUACUGAUACGGCCGUUACAAAUUCGAUGUCAUAACUCGGACUUAUGCAUCAUAACUCAACACUUUACGCUAUAACUCGGCAUUAUACGCUACAUCCUAGAAUAAAAACGACCGACCAGACAUUAUCACUUAUUAAAACCUAAUAACUACUCUUCAAUUCAGAUGAUCAACGGUAAUGUAACCGACCUUUUAUGCUCAACCUAUAAAGGUAUGAUAUCUUAUCCUUAACAGACACACUGAAUUCUUAGUACUAACUUAAGUAUCGGAGUGCCUUUUGCAGAUACACUCCCCCUUUGUUCAUACUCUCCGUGACGUGAUAUCUCUCUGGACGAAGAGUUCGGAUCAUCCCAAUUUAUAGCUCGAUGUUGAAGGCUAAAACUCGGCGUCGACUCCUCUAGUCGAGGUCACGUCCAAGUUACUCUCACAAGAACACUUACCAUAUAUAAUUCUUU